CCUACGGGUGGCAGCAGUGAGGAAUAUUCGUCAAUGGACGAGAGUCUGAACCAGCCAAGUAGCGUGAAGGAUGACUGCCCUAUGGGUUGUAAACUUCGUUUAUAUGGGAAUAAAAUGUUCGUAGUGUGGGAAUUUGUAUGUACCAUAUGAAUCAGGAUCGGCUAACUCCGUGCCAGCCGCCGCGGUAAUACGGGGGAUGCGAGCGAUGUCCGGUUUUAUUGGGUUUAAAGGGAGCGCAGGCGGAAGAUCAAGUCAGCGGUAAAAUUGAGGGGCGCAACCGCUUCGAGCCGUUGAAACUGGGUUUCUUGAGUGAGCGAGAAGAAUGCGGAAUGCGUGGUGUAGCGGUGAAAUGCAUAGAUAUCACGCAGAACUCCGAUUGCGAAGGCAGCAUACCGGCGCUCAACUGACGCUCAUGCACGAAAGUGUGGGUAUCGAACAGGAUUAGAUACCCCAGUAGUC
rnacentral:rRNA from 1 species